rnacentral:rRNA from 1 species
UACGUAGGGGGCAAGCGUUGUCCGGAAUCAUUGGGCGUAAAGAGCGUGUAGGCGGCUCGGUAAGUCCGCUGUGAAAGUCCAGGGCUCAACCCUGGAAUGCCGGUGGAAACGUGUCGAGCUAGAGUCCGGAAGAGGCGAGUGGAAUUCCUGGUGUAGCGGUGAAAUGCGCAGAUAUCAGGAGGAACACCGGUGGCGAAGGCGGUUCUCUGGGCCUUACCUGGACACUGAGGAGCGAAAGCGUGGGGAGCGAACAGG